CGACCGGCGCACGGGUGCGUAACGCGUAUACAAUCUACCUUUACAGGGGCAUAGCCCGGGGAAACCCGGAUUAAUAUCCCAUGGUAUCAUUUAGUGGCAUCACUUGAAUGAUUAAAGUUUCGGCGGUAAAAGAUGAGUAUGCGUUCUAUUAGCUAGAUGGUAAGGUAACGGCUUACCAUGGCUACGAUAGAUAGGGGUCCUGAGAGGGAGAUCCCCCACACUGGUACUGAGACACGGACCAG
rnacentral:rRNA from 1 species